rnacentral:rRNA from 1 species
UACGUAGGGUGCGAGCGUUAAUCGGAAUUACUGGGCGUAAAGCGUGCGCAGGCGGUUGUGCAAGACAGGGGUGAAAUCCCCGGGCUUAACCUGGGAACUGCACUUGUGACUGCACGACUGGAGUACGGCAGAGGGGGAUGGAAUUCCGCGUGUAGCAGUGAAAUGCGUAGAUAUGCGGAGGAACACCGAUGGCGAAGGCAGUCCCCUGGGCCUGUACUGACGCUCAUGCACGAAAGCGUGGGGAGCAAACAGG